rnacentral:rRNA from 1 species
GCUGGCGGCGUGCCUAACACAUGCAAGUCAACUUGGACGGAGGAGCAAUCUGACCGUAGAGUAGGCGGCAACGGGUGCGUAACGCGUAAGUAACUUGCCCCAAGGUAAGGAAUAACGUCGAGAAAUCGGCGCUAAUACCUCAUAAUGCAGCGGAUCCGCAUGGAUAUGUUGUUAAAGGUUUACCGCCUUGGGAUAGGCUUGCGUCUGAUUAGCUAGUGGUGUGGUAACGGCACACCAAGGCUACGAUCAGUAACUGGUCUGAGAGGAUGAUCAGUCACACUGGAACUGAGACACGGUCCAGACUCCUACGGGAGGCAGCAGUGAGGAAUAUUGGGCAAUGCUCGAAAGAGUGACCCAGCAACGCCGCGUGGAGGAUGAAGGUAUUCUAUAUCGUAAACUCCUGUGAGAGCAGACGAAAGACAGAUUAUUAAUCUGGAUGACUGUAUGCUCAGAGGAAGCCCCGGCUAACUACGUG